UACAGAGGGGGCAAGCGUUGUUUGGAAUUACUGGGCGUAAAGGGCGCGUAGGCGGCCUUCUAAGUCGAACGUGAAAUCCCUGGGCUCAACCCAGGAACUGCGUCCGAUACUGGAAGGCUUGAAUCCGGGAGAGGGAUGCGGAAUUCCAGGUGUAGCGGUGAAAUGCGCAGAUAUCAGGAGGAACACCAAUUGCGAAGGCAGCUCGCUGGGACGGUACUGACGCUGAGACGCGAAAGCGUGGGGAGCAAACAGG
rnacentral:rRNA from 1 species